rnacentral:rRNA from 1 species
UGCUGUGAAAGCCCGAGGCUCAACCUCGGGUCUGCAGUGGGUACGGGCAGGCUAGAGUGCGGUAGGGGAGAUUGGAAUUCCUGGUGUAGCGGUGGAAUGCGCAGAUAUCAGGAGGAACACCGAUGGCGAAGGCAGAUCUCUGGGCCGUUACUGACGCUGAGGAGCGAAAGCAUGGGGAGCGAACAGGAUUAGAUACCCUGGUAGUCCAUGCCGUAAACGUUGGGCGCUAGAUGUGGGGACCUUUCCACGGUUUCUGUGUCGUAGCUAACGCAUUAAGCGCCCCGCCUGGGGAGUACGGCCGCAAGGCUAAAACUCAAAGGAAUUGACGGGGGCCCGCACAAGCGGCGGAGCAUGCGGAUUAAUUCGAUGCAACGCGAAGAACCUUACCAAGGCUUGACAUAUAUCGGAAUCGGCUAGAGAUAGUCGCGCCCUUUGGGUCGGUAUACAGGUGGUGCAUGGUUGUCGUCAGCUCGUGUCGUGAGAUGUUCGGUUAAGUCCGGCAACGAGCGCAACCCUUGUCCUAUGUUGCCAGCACGUUAUGGUGGGAACUCAUGGGAUACUGCCGUGGUCAACACGGAGGAAGGUGGGGAUGACGUCAAAUCAUCAUGCCCCUUAUGUCUUGGGCUUCACGCAUGCUACAAUGGCCGGUACAAUGGGCUGCGAUACCGCGAGGUGGAGCGAAUCCCAAAAAGCCGGUCUCAGUUCGGAUUGGGGUCUGCAAC